rnacentral:rRNA from 1 species
GAGUUUGAUCCUGGCUCAGGAUGAACGCUAGCGGCGCGCUUAACACAUGCAAGUCGUGCGAUCGGACCGGACCAACGUCCUUCGGGACAGCGGACCGGUUACGGAGCGGCGGACGGGUGAGUAACGCGUAGCUAACCUACCUUCGGGCGGGAGAUAGCAACGGGAAACCGUUGUUAAUAUCCCAUAAGGUGGGAGAACUCAAGUUCUCUCAUCAAAGUGGCUUCGGCUACACCUGAAGAUGGGGCUGCGUCCUAUUAGCUAGACGGUGAGGUAAAGGCUCACCGUGGCCAAGAUAGGUAGGGGGCCUGAGAGGGCGAUCCCCCUCACUGGGACUGAGACACGGCCCAGACUCCUACGGGAGGCUGCAGUGGGGAAUCUUGCGCAAUGGUCGAAAGGCUGACGCAGCGACGCCGCGUGGAGGACGAAGGCCUUCGGGUUGUAAACUCCUUUUCUGGAGGACGAAUAAGGCCAGCAGGUAAUGGUUGGCCGAUGACGGUACUUCAGGAACAAGCGCCGGCUAACUUCGUGCCAGCAGCCGCGGUAAGACGAAGGGCGCAAGCGUUAUCCGGAAUUACUGGGCGUAAAGGGCGUCUAGGCGGCCAGUCAAGUCGACGUUGAAAUUCCUCGGCUAAACUGAGGGAGGUACGUCGAAACUGACCGGCUAGAGGGACGUAGAGGUAAGCGGAACUCUCGGAGUAGCGGUGAAAUGCGUAGAGACCGAGAGGUACCCCGAUGGUGAAGACAGCUUACUGGGCGUCUCCUGACGCUGAAGCGCUAAGGCCAGGGGAGCAAAGGGGAUUAGAUACCCCCGUAGUCCUGGCUUCAAACGAUGUGGGCUUGGUGUCGGCCCCCUAUAGAGGGUCGUUGCCGGAGUUAACGCGUUAAGCCCACCGCCUGGGGAUUACGUCCGCAAGGAUGAAACUCAAGGGAAUUGACGGGGGCCCACACAACCGGUGGAACACGUGGUUUAAUUCGAUGAUAAGCGAAGAACCUUACCAGGGCUUGACCUAGCGGUAGUAGGACCCCGAAAGGGGAACGACCUCAAGCUUUGCUUGAGGAACCGUGGCAGGUAUUGCAUGGCUGUCCUCAGCUC